rnacentral:tRNA from 1 species
CAGAAAAUAGUUUAGCGUUAGAAUUCUGGCUUUGGGAGCCAGGGGUGGGAGUUAAAAUCUCCUUUUUCUGG